rnacentral:rRNA from 1 species
AUUGAACGCUGGCGGCAGGCCUAACACAUGCAAGUCGAGCGGAUGACGGGAGCUUGCUCCUUGAUUCAGCGGCGGACGGGUGAGUAAUGCCUAGGAAUCUGCCUGGUAGUGGGGGACAACGUUUCGAAAGGAACGCUAAUACCGCAUACGUCCUACGGGAGAAAGCAGGGGAACUUCGGGCCUUGCGCUAUCAGAUGAGCCUAGGUCUGAUUAGCUAGGUGGUGGGGUAAUGGCUCACCACGGCGACAAGCCGUACUGGUCUGAGAGGAUGAUCAGUCACACUGGAACUGAGACACGGUCCAGACUCCUACGGGAGGCAGCAGUGGGGAAUAUUGGACAAUGGGCGAAAGCCUGAUCCAGCCAUGCCGCGUGUGUGAAGAAGGUCUUCGGAUUGUAAAGCACUUUAAGUUGGGAGGAAGGGCAGUAAGCUAAUACCUUGCUGUUCUGACGUUACCGACAGAAUAAGCACCGGCUAACUCUGUGCCAGCAGCCGCCGCGG